rnacentral:lncRNA from 1 species
CGGGAGAGCUAGCGGAGUAGCCACUUACUCCGCCCCAGCGGCCGGGCUCCUGAGCUGCGCGCACGGGGCUCCCCAGGCCCGACAGAAACCCAUUCCGCCACUGAGCAUGCCCAGUGUGACUGUGACCGGGACUCUUCUCACCACCCUGGCCUCAAACUUAGAUGUGAGACCAGACCGGGGGCAGGGAGCGAGUGGGAGAGGGUAGAAUCUCCACACUUCUCCAGAGGGGACGCAAGACGUGGCUCCUGCCUGGGUGACAGUGGGUUAGGGAGGGAGACUGGUGUUGGAAGUUUGUACUUUACACAAAGGAAGAUCAGAUUCUACGCAGUCAAAAUUUCACUAAGUGACCAAGUGGAAACGCGCCGAAACAAAGGAGCUGGAUUCUGAGCUUUCCUUUGAGCUCCAAUAGGAUUUAAAGAGGAAGAAAAUGACUCUGGAAUUCCGGCUGUUUGGAGGACUGAAACUCGUUUUACUUAAUUUGUUUCAAACAGCAUUCGUCCACUCUUCUUUUCAAUUAUUGGCACAAGAAAUUUGUUUCCUGAGGAAAGGCUAGAAAAGUCCCUUAUUUGAAAAAUUUAAACUUCCACAAAAGGGUGAGUGUUU